rnacentral:rRNA from 1 species
CAGCAGCCGCGGUAAUACGUAGGGUGCGAGCGUUAAUCGGAAUUACUGGGCGUAAAGCGUGCGCAGGCGGUUAUAUAAGACAGAUGUGAAAUCCCCGGGCUCAACCUGGGACCCGCAUUUAUGACUGUAUAGCUAGAGUACGGUAGAGGGGGAUGGAAUUCCGCGUGUAGCAGUGAAAUGCGUAGAUAUGCGGAGGAACACCGAUGGCGAAGGCAAUCCCCUGGACCUGUACUGACGCUCAUGCACGAAAGCGUGGGGAGCAAACAGGAUUAGAUACCCCCGUAGUCCCUGUCUCUUAUAC